UCACUCUCACUCUCCGCCUCCUCUUUUUUAUCUCUCUCGCUGCCGUUGCUUCUAAGAUCCCUAAAGACUCCCCGUCGUUUGAUCCUUCCGCGUAAUCUCCACACCUGAUUCCGUCGAUUCCAAUCAAAUCUCGAGAUCUGCUGGUGGCACCUGGUUGUUGCGUUUGGUCUCUGCUUUCUUCUGGGGUGUUCAGAGAGGAAGGUUGACUAGCAUACUGUUAUGAAGGAAUCUAGUGUGCCCGGAUUCAUCCUCUUCUGUUCCAACUAAUCAGCCUACUUCUGGGUUAAACUACUUAAUAAGAAAA